rnacentral:rRNA from 1 species
CGGUCUGGUGGCGAGUGGCGAACGGGUGAGUAAUGUAUCGGAACGUGCCUAGUAGCGGGGGAUAACUACGCGAAAGCGUAGCUAAUACCGCAUACGCCCUACGGGGGAAAGCAGGGGAUCGCAAGACCUUGCACUAUUAGAGCGGCCGAUAUCGGAUUAGCUAGUUGGUGGGGUAACGGCUCACCAAGGCGACGAUCCGUAGCUGGUUUGAGAGGACGACCAGCCACACUGGGACUGAGACACGGCCCAGACUCCUACGGGAGGCAGCAGUGGGGAAUUUUGGACAAUGGGGGAAACCCUGAUCCAGCCAUCCCGCGUGUGCGAUGAAGGCCUUCGGGUUGUAAAGCACUUUUGGCAGGAAAGAAACGUCGCGGGUUAAUACCCCGCGGAACUGACGGUACCUGCAGAAUAAGCACCGGCUAACUACGUGCCAGCAGCCGCGGUAAUACGUAGGGUGCAAGCGUUAAUCGGAAUUACUGGGCGUAAAGCGUGCGCAGGCGGUUCGGAAAGAAAGAUGUGAAAUCCCAGAGCUUAACUUUGGAACUGCAUUUUUAACUACCGAGCUAGAGUGUGUCAGA